rnacentral:lncRNA from 1 species
UAUGCCCUUUAAAGCAAGUAGAGCACAUUACUCAUCACUCAAUCUCCAGGACCAAGUUAAUGUUCUGUAUAUAGUAAUGUCGACAGCAACAUCUCCCCCAGGUGUAACAACUAAACGUGUCUCCAGACAUUGGCAAAUAUCCUUGGGCCAUGGAGAAAACAUCACCUUCAAUUGAAAACCACUGGGCCACUCUAAUGCCUUCAAGGGACAGAUCCCAGGUCUAAACCCUAGCCAAAACCCCUUGUGUUAGAGGAGCUCACCCUUUACUGCUGAUGAAAUCUCCAUGAUGAAGUGCUUUCCUGGUGACACCCAGAGAUCGUUUGCUAUGUGAAUGCUUUUCUUGCUCAAAUUUCAACAAACAUGAUUGCCAAAAAAGAAAAAAAAAAGAAGAGAAAAGAGAACAGAAAAGAAGAAAAGAAAAGAAAGAAAGGAGAAGAGAGAGAAAGAGAGAAGAGAAGAGAAGAGAAAAGAAGAAAAGAAAAGAAAAGACCAGACCAGACCCAUAGAAUCCUAUGGGAUCUGCUGACAUGUUUGUCUGAACUUCGUCUUCCAUAUCACUGUCAAGAUAGUUUUUCUAACUCACCACUCCAAAAUCUAUGAAAAGCCUCCAUAAGCCCCUAGUUGCCCUCCAAAUUAUAACUGCAUUUGGUUCACACUUUUCCCUCCUCCUGAAGUGACUUUCCUUCUUAUUCCGCUUUUAAAAACUUUAUCACCUGCAAAAUUCACUUCAAAAAGAGCUCCCUCCAUGAAGGUUUAAUUACUCUCUUGGCCCUAAAGGAAUGACAUCUCCUGUUUGGCCUGUUCACAUUGCUGCACUGCACUGGUAACUCUUCAACGAAACCCAUUUUUACUCUUACCUCUUAUUGUUACUUAUGUACAGGUCUUAUUGCCUCUCUCAACCUCAACUAAACUAUUUAAGAGAAGUGUACUCAUCUGUUUAUUUCCUGCUGAGUCUAGUCCAAUCUCUUAUAAUUUUUAGACCAUUAAAAAGCUAUUUGCUGAAGUGAAUUGAGUUGAAAUUGGUAUAGACAAGCCAGUAUGUCUGGUCAUCUUAAUCUAUAUGUUAUUGAACAAUGUGCCAGCUGGAAUCUCCUUUUAUGUAGUGUCCUUCUCAGUAUUCUUUUUCCUUUCCCAUGGCAUUUUGAGUCCUACUGCUAAAGUAGAAAAUUUAAGAAAGCAUGUUUUCCAUAGUGAAAGAAACAUAGGUAAAAUUCUGAUAAAAAUAAAGCAUUAGAACUGAACAUUCAAUUAGUAAAUGCUAAUAAAUCCAUGGACUAAAACAAAAGUUAUCAUAAAAGUAGCUAGCAAUGCACAAGGACAUGUUUAGAUAAUAUUAUACAAUUUAUGCUUAUUUUCUUUCUCCAGUGCUCAUUCUUUCCAAAUGUUUGUUAUCUAUGCUGGAUCUUGAUGAGAGGAAG